rnacentral:rRNA from 1 species
ACGGGGUGCAGCAGGCGCGAACACUUUACAAUGCGGGAAACCGCGAUAAGGGAACCCCGAGUGCCAGCAUCAAAUGUUGGCUGUCCAGAUGAUUAAAAAUCAUUUGUUAGCAAGGGCCAGGCAAGACCGGUGCCAGCCGCCGCGGUAACACCGGCGGCCCGAGUGGUAGCCGUUUUUAUUGGGUCUAAAGGGUCCGUAGCCGGCCUGAUAAGUCCUUUGGGAAAUCUGGCAGCUUAACUGUCAGGCUUCUAAGGGAUACUGUCAGGCUUGGGACCGGAAGAGGUAAGGGGUACUCCAGGGGUAGGAGUGAAAUCUUGUAAUCCCUGGGGGACCAUCUGUGGCGAAGGCGCCUUACCAGAACGGGUCCGACGGUGAGGGACGAAAGCUAGGGGAGCAAACCGGAUUAGAUACCCGGGUAGUCCUAGCUGUAAACGAUGCUCGCUAGGUGUCAGACACGGUGCGACCGUGUUUGGUGCCGCAGGGAAGCCGUUAAGCGAGCCACCUGGAAGUACGUCGCAAGGC